AAACCAUUCGAAUGUAUCACCUUCGUAUUUUCGAAACCAUGUGCUCCCAGAAUGUGAAACCUGUUUUUAUCAAACCGUCGUCACCACGGCAGGCCUGAAAUCAUGCCUUUUAGCCCAGUGCUAACGGUAACCUUGCUAACAGAGGUCAGUACGCAGAAUGAACUUAAUCAAACAGCGGAAAUUCGACCUAUUGUGUAAUUUAUGUAAAUUUGCCCUUCAUAUGUUAUGUUUUAUGUCUUGCUUUAUGUUUCAGUUUUGCCGUUUGUGAGGUAUAUCAAACAAACGAGUGAGGCAUCAGAUACAGUGCCUCUCACUUUGACUAAACAGAAGCUGCCGCAGUAGCAAACUAGUGUUGUCCGUGUUUCCGUUAUCGGACACAUUUCGAUCUGCGUUUUUCUUCAUGGUACUGGUUAAACAAUUUUAAAUUUCGUCACCGUUUUUAACUACCAUUAUUCGUAUUAAAAGACACAGCCACGUUUAGCUUUAGACUUUAAUUCACACGGAGGAAACAAGGUCUAAAGUUAGACAGUAGGUGAACAGUAGUACAACUUUUACAAGGAAGACUAACUAUUAACUUCAUCUAAAUACAGUUCAGGAAAUGUUCUAUUUAGGUACAAACAUGUACAUUUUAUCAGUUUACAAUUACACAUGUAUGUAUGUAUUCUUUACUCCAAAAAUAAAUUGCGUUCUGUACCAAUAUUGCAGAAAAAGAUCACAUGUUCAAAUUGCAAAAGCCAGAGAAAAAGAGUACAGUUCAAUGUAAAGAGGAGAUCAUUAACUGAAAGGGACUUGGGUCACUAGAGCAACAGUCAUCUGUGAAGAUAAAGGUGGUUUCUACAAAUAAGGCAACAGUGAACUUCACAGUAGUUAUGUUGAACAUAGUUGGACAGCAGGACAGGAGUGCGUGGACGAUGAAUUACUGUAUGCUGUAAAGAUCAUCUAGUUUCCAGGCAUCUGAGGCCCCUGGUGGUUAUUGGCAGUGGAUUUUCAGUCACACUGAGCUUAACACAAAUGGUUCUAGUCAGGAGCCUGAAUUUUGUCCUCUCAGCUCCUGGGUAGACCUACGCUCCACUAUUUGAUUCACUUUGAGUUAUAGUAAUAAAUGUAGACCAUAGCAGGUACAAUGUUGCAGCAGCAAAGCAUAUCAUUGUUGUUUGUGAACUCAACAACAUAAAGCUAAAUUAGAAAGUAAGCAGUUGUUCCCAGAGAGAUUGUUGGCUGUUUCCUGUAGGUUUUACCAAAGUAUUUAUUUUCACCAAAUGAAAAAAAGU